UACAACUUUCAGCAACGGAUCUCUUGGCUCUCGCAUCGAUGAAGAACGCAGCGAAAUGCGAUAAGUAAUGUGAAUUGCAGAAUUCAGUGAAUCAUCGAAUCUUUGAACGCACCUUGCGCUCCUUGGUAUUCCGAGGAGCAUGCCUGUUUGAGUGUCAUUAAAUUCUCAACU
rnacentral:rRNA from 1 species